UUCUUAAAAGAAAACAAGAGAAGAUGGUUUAUUUUAAGGUAAUAUGCAGAACUGGUAAAAAAUAAGCCCAUAACCCAAAACACAAUGUGCAAUUUAAUAUGACAAUUUAAUUAAAUUCGAUUACAAAAUCUUAAUUAAAUGAAAGGAAGAAGUAUCACUAAUAAUCUGGUUUAGUUGUAGUAUUUUCCGACCAAUUAUAAUGUCUGUAACACUCUGUAGUAACAGAGGUGCUCACGUGCAGGGACGUAGCCCAAACGCUCUAUAUCACUAAGCUGGCUGGUUACAGAAAAAAAAGAAAAACCUUAAUCAUCUGGACGAAAACAAACGAUGACAAGACUACCAGACUGCAUUGAAGAUGACAUUGGUGAUGACUCUGCAGGAAAUGAACAACCAAUAAGACGACCAUGUGCCCUUCUGGACUCAGCAGGAAUACAAAACUGGUGAGACGACCGUCUGCACGCCACAUUGUGGAGUCAUCAGAAGAUAAACAGCUGGUGAGACGACCGUCUGCAGGCCACAUUGUGGAGUCAUCAGAAGAUUAACAGAUCAGUUCUGAAGACCAAGAAGUCUGGAGUGAGGAAGAUGCAUCUACAGGUGAACCAGACCACACAGAAAACCUCGGUGGAACUUCACUCCAUGAACAAAAUGGAGUAGUGACUUUCUUGCUUUUUUUAUUAACUAGAUGAAAAGCUUUCUUCAAAAUCUCAGACCGUACAGUUGAGGCCAUUCAUAAAAUUGUAAAAGCUUUACUGUGUUUUAAGGUAGCAUAGUGUGUGUGAGUGUUUUACGAAACAUCACAAGACUUCCCUGCCACUUUAUACAGCAGGGGUCUUCAAGUAAAAU